UACGAAGGGGGCGAGCGUUGUUCGGAAUUACUGGGCGUAAAGGGCGCGUAGGCGGCGACCCAAGUCAGAUGUGAAAGUCCUGGGCUUAACCUGGGGACUGCAUUUGAUACUGGGUUGCUUGAAUUCGGGAGAGGAUAGCGGAAUUCCCAGUGUAGAGGUGAAAUUCGUAGAUAUUGGGAAGAACACCGGUGGCGAAGGCGGCUAGCUGGACCGACAUUGACGCUGAGGCGCGAAAGCGUGGGGAGCAAACAGG
rnacentral:rRNA from 1 species